rnacentral:rRNA from 1 species
GACGUGAGGCGCAAGCGUUGUCCGGAUUUAUUGGGCGUAAAGAGCUCGUAGGCGGCUUGUUGCGUCGUCCGUGAAAACCCGCAGCUCAACUGCGGGCUUGCGGACGAUACGGGCAGGCUGGAGUUCGGUAGGGGAGACUGGAAUUCCUGGUGUAGCGGUGAAAUGCGCAGAUAUCAGGAGGAACACCGGUGGCGAAGGCGGGUCUCUGGGCCGAUACUGACGCUGAGGAGCGAAAGCGUGGGGAGCGAACAGG